rnacentral:lncRNA from 1 species
UGACAGGGCAGUUAUACUGAUGUUGAUCUGGAAUGGGCCACUUACAGAUCAACAUUGUUGGUAGCGACACCGUCAGCUCCUGAACCAGCCCAGUGGCUGCAUGGCAGCUGCACGGGCAAGCGGCACUGAAACUGGAUCAGCAGUGUUGCUACUAGAGGUUUACAAUAGGCUUUUUCUAAGUAACUGGGAGGAUUAGAACCUUUUCUGUUACAGCUGCCACAAGUUAAUUGGGUGUGUUAUCAACUUCUGCAUAAAACAAGGCACUAAGUUUGUAAGCUUUGAGCUUUGCAUUUGGCUUAGCUUGAUGGCUCGUUGAGAGCUGAAGAAGCUGUUUUUGGGAGUAGUUAUGCAACGUCCUGAGCAUUAAGCUGUUUGGAGUGCCAAGGAAGGCAAGAUAAGAACAUUCUUCAAAAAACAAAGUUGCAGUUUGUUUGCAUGCUGUUGUUUGAAGAAGACUCACCGAAGAUAUUGUUUGUUAUUGAAUGCAAAGAAGAACUUUAUACCUUACCAUUUAAAGUUAUAAGUGGAUGA